AACAAACGCUGGCGGCGUGCCUAACACAUGCAAGUCGUACGAGAAAGGGUCCUUCGGGGCCUGAGUAAAGUGGCGCACGGGUGAGUAACGCGUGGAUAAUCUGCCCUUCAGUUGGGAAUAACUCAUCGAAAGGUGGGCUAAUACCGAAUAAUGCUGUGAGACCUCGGUUGAUCAGCCAAAGGGAGCCUCUGCUUGCAAGCCCUCGCUGAAGGAUGAGUCCGCGUACCACUAGCUAGUUGGUAGGGUAAUGGCCUACCAAGGCGACGAUGGUUAGCUGGUCUGAGAGGAUGAUCAGCCACACUGGAACUGAGACACGGUCCAGACUCCUACGGGAGGCAGCAGUGAGGAAUCUUGCGCAAUGGGGGCAACCCUGACGCAGCAACGCCGCGUGAGUGAGGAAGGUCUUCGGAUCGUAAAGCUCUGUCGGAUGGAAAGAACCGCAUAGGGGUAAACAGCCCCUGUGUCUGACGGUACCAUCAAAGGAAGCACCGGCUAACUCCGUGCCAGCAGCCGCCGUAAAAC
rnacentral:rRNA from 1 species